CAAUUAAUUUCCUUCAAGCAAAUUCCUAAACAAUUGCAGUAGACGAAUUGCCAAGACACUCAAUCACCAAUGUCAAUUCUCUCUCUAGAGUGGGGAGGGGGGUAACAGUUCCCAAAUUUUGUUUUGGUUAACAAAGCCACGAGGCAUCCAUGGUUCUUAUCACCGUCGAAGGCAUCCGCGUUUAGCUUAAUGUUACUUACCAUCCUAAUCGCGUGAUACACAUCAUCUAAGUCCUUAGUCUCCGUUCACGGAAUCUAUUCAUCCAGUUUGUUCGAAUUGAAGGAGCAGCUGCGGCAGCUCUUCGCCGUCGACCAUUCGACUUCGACUAAGGAAAAGAGAGAGAGAACACAAGGGGCAUGAGAGGGAAAGCUUGCCGGAGGAGACGGCACUUGGGCGGGAGGCGAUCGUUGUGAUCGUUCACGACGAAUAGGAGGGAAGGUAGCUGGUGUGUAGGGAGAGAGGGAGAGAAGAAAUUUAAGGAUUUUUGUGAGAGAGAAAAAAGGAGAUUAGAGUUCAUGUUGGGGAGGGGUGCCGGGUCAGGCCCAGCCUGUGCCCAGAUCCACGCUUCAGCCCUGAUUCGACCCAUCUCUUGGGUGAGGUUGGUCUCACCCAAAUUUUUGCGUAAAUAAAAAUGUCAAUAUUAUAUUAAUAAUAUAUGGCACCAUGGCAUUGAACAGAUCCCCGGCAAUGGACAUCAACAAGUUAGUCUUUGAACACAAUAAGAAGUAUAGCAUAUAAAUAGUCUCUUCUUUUUGGCAACAAAUUCUAAACAUGGAACUGUAAUCAUAACCUAACAAUGACAAAAUCCAGUCAUCAUACCACAAAAUUUCAAUCUUCUACUUAGUUUGGUAUACACCUAACUUCCCCAAUAUAAACAAGACAAACUCUGUAUGGUAAAACUACAUGUAACUCACCUUUGUUUAAUGAUCAACAAUCACCACAUAUAGUAAUCUUUUUUAUUGGUUUUGGAUAUUUAUGGUGUGAAAUUAGUAAUCCCUACUGGUUGAGACAAAAAUUGUCAAAUGUUCAACAAUGAUGUAUUCUUCAGCAGAGGCUCGGAUAGAAUUGAGACAACUUCUUAAACUCUGCGAGGUUUUUAAUCAACUGAGGUCCAUCUUGUGCAACUGCAUCCUUCCGGUCAGUGUUGCAACCCCACACGUGGAUCGCAAGCCUCCGACACUUUGGCGAGGGCUGCCUUAAAUAAGUGCGAUACCACUCGAUGAUAUCUUCCUUUUUGAUAUCUUUCAGUUCCUCAGCUUCCUUUUCGGACAAGUCAAACAUAUACCU